CCUACGGGUGGCAGCAGUGGGGAAUAUUGCACAAUGGGGGAAACCCUGAUGCAGCGACGCCGCGUGAGUGAAGAAGUAUUUCGGUAUGUAAAGCUCUAUCAGCAGGGAAGAAAAUGACGGUACCUGACUAAGAAGCCCCGGCUAACUACGUGCCAGCAGCCGCGGUAAUACGUAGGGGGCAAGCGUUAUCCGGAUUUACUGGGUGUAAAGGGAGCGUAGACGGCCAGACAAGUCAGAAGUGAAAGCCCAGGGAUCAACCCUGGGACUGCUUUUGAAACUGUUGAACUAGAUUGCAGGAGAGGUAAGUGGAAUUCCUAGUGUAGCGGUGAAAUGCGUAGAUAUUAGGAGGAACACCAGUGGCGAAGGCGGCUUACUGGACUGUAAAUGACGCUGAGGCUCGAAAGCGUGGGGAGCAAACAGGAUUAGAUACCCCUGUAGUC
rnacentral:rRNA from 1 species